GGGGGGGGGGGGGGGGGGGGGGGGGGGGGGCGGGGGGGGGGGGCGGGGGGGGGGGGGGCUGCGCUGGCGUUAGCGGCGGCCGGGGGGGUGACCCGUGGAUGACCUACCUAGAGGAGUGGGAUAACUUGGGGAACCCGGGGCUACUACCGGAUACUAUAUUGAACCGCAUGGUUCAAUAGUGCAAGACGGGUUGGCUGUCACUUAUAGAUGGAUCCGCGCCGCAUUAGCUAGUUGGUAAGGUAACGGCUUACCAAGGCACCGAUGCGUAGCCGACCUGAGAGGGUGAUCGGCCACACUGGAACUGAGACACGGUCCAGACGCCUACGGGAGGCAGCAGUAGGGAAUCUUCCGCAAUGGGCGAAAGCCUGACGGAGCAACGCCGCGUGAGUGAUGAAGGUCUUCGGAUCGUAAAACUCUGUUAUUAGGGAAGAACAAAUGUGUAAGUAACUAUGCACGUCUUGACGGUACCUAAUCAGAAAGCCACGGCUAACUACGUG
rnacentral:rRNA from 1 species